CAGUCGAACGAGCGAGAGAGAGCUUGCUUUCUCAAGCGAGUGGCGAACGGGUGAGUAACGCGUGAGGAACCUGCCUCAAAGAGGGGGACAACAGUUGGAAACGACUGCUAAUACCGCAUAAGCCCACAGGUCGGCAUCGACCAGAGGGAAAAGGAGCAAUCCGCUUUGAGAUGGCCUCGCGUCCGAUUAGCUAGUUGGUGAGGUAAUGGCCCACCAAGGCAACGAUCGGUAGCCGGACUGAGAGGUUGAACGGCCACAUUGGGACUGAGACACGGCCCAGACUCCUACGGGAGGCAGCAGUGGGGAAUAUUGCACAAUGGGGGAAACCCUGAUGCAGCGACGCCGCGUGGAGGAAGAAGGUCUUCGGAUUGUAAACUCCUGUUGUUGAGGAAGAUAAUGACGGUACUCAACAAGGAAGUGACGGCUAACUACGUGCCAGCAGCCGCGGUAAAACGUAGGUCACGAGCGUUGUCCGGAAUUACUGGGUGUAAAGGGAGCGCGGGCGGGAAGACAAGUUGGAAGUGAAAUCUAUGGGCUCAACCCAUAAACUGCUUUCAAAACUGUUUUUCUUGAGUAGUGCAGAGGUAGGCGGAAUUCCCGGUGUAGCGGUGGAAUGCGUAGAUAUCGGGAGGAACACCAGUGGCGAAGGCGGCCUACUGGGCACCAACUGACGCUGAGGCUCGAAAGUGUGGGUAGCAAACAGGAUUAGAUACCCUGGUAGUCCACACCGUAAACGAUGAUUACUAG
rnacentral:rRNA from 1 species